rnacentral:rRNA from 1 species
UACGAAGGGGGCUAGUCGUUGCUCGGAAUCACUGGGCGUAAAGCGCACGUAGGCGGCUUACUAAGUCAGGGGUGAAAUCCUGGAGCUCAACUCCAGAACUGCCUUUGAUACUGGUAAGCUCGAGUCCGGGAGAGGUGAGUGGAACUGCGAGUGUAGAGGUGAAAUUCGUAGAUAUUCGCAAGAACACCAGUGGCGAAGGCGGCUCACUGGCCCGAUACUGACGCUGAGGCACGAAAGCGUGGGGAGCAAACAGG